AGAUUAAGUUAUUAAGGGCGCACGGUGGAUGCCUUGGCACUAGAAGCCGAUGAAGGACGUUACUAACGACGAUAUGCUUUGGGGAGCUGUAAGUAAGCUUUGAUCCAGAGAUUUCCGAAUGGGGAAACCCAGCACGAGUUAUGUCGUGUUAUCUGCAUGUGAAUACAUAGCAUGCAAGAAGGCAGACCCGGAGAACUGAAACAUCUUAGUACCCGGAGGAAGAGAAAGAAAAAUCGAUUCCCUGAGUAGCGGCGAGCGAAACGGGAAGAGCCCAAACCAAUAAGCUUGCUUAUUGGGGUUGUAGGACACUCUGUACGGAGUUACAAAAGAAUUUGUUAGACGAAUAAC
rnacentral:rRNA from 1 species